AAAAUAUGAAAUAAUUAUAUGGAGAUCUUAUACUGAAAGGGAGUGCAGCAGGGCCGGCCCACCCAUGAGGCAGGCAAGGUGACUGCCUCGGGUGGCAGGAUCUACAGGAGCAGCAGAUCUACCCUCCAGGGAAUUCAUUGUCUUCUUCUGCUGCUGCUGCUGCCACCGCCGCCACUGCUGCAGAGGAGCAACAACUAGGGUGCACUCCUUGGAAGUCAGAUCUGAGCAUUCUCAGCAGUCCCCCCCACCCAUACCACCUCUAUAGUAGCCUCUUGGCAAAUAGAAGGAGCUGCUGUUCUCCUCCCACUCUUGUUCCCAAUGUAGAUCAUUAUUGUCCCCUUGUUCCUGUAGUAGAUCUUCACUCAUCCCUGACAUGGGUGCACCAUUUUGUGGUUUGCCUCGGGUGUCAAAAUGUCUUGGGUUGGCCCUGGAAUGCAGCCUAUCUGAAGCACGCAGUAUAGGGGAAUAAAACAGUGCUCUGUUCAUCUACACCAGCCUUCCCCAACCUGGUGCCCUCCAGAUGUUUUGGAUACCAAUCCAUCAGACCUGGCCCCCAGCACUGUGCUGGUGCACUAGGUUGAAGGGCAUCAAGUUGAGGAAGGCUGAUCUGUACAAUUAAUUGAGACACUACAAGAGCACUACUAUUCUCUGAGAAGCACGUGAUUUUAAUUUUGUGAGUUUGAAGCUGGCUUUAUGAAGUUUGAUCACUGGUUCAUCAAGUUGAGAGCUGUUUACUUCAACUGUCAGGCUCUCCAUAGCAACCUUUCCCAGUUUAGUGCCCUCCACAUCUUUUGGACUAUGGACGAAUCUACACUGAUUGGUUAUAAUGUUAAAAUGUGUUAUUAAAAUGUGACACCAGAGGGCACUGUAGAGCAGCAAUCUGUCAGCAAUGGAAAAUUUCAUUGAGUGCUAUAUUACAUUUUUACAGCGUUUGUACAGAUCAGUGUAGAUCCAGCUUAUAAAUCCCAUCAUCCCUGACCAUUGCCAAUGCUGGUGGGCAUCAAUGGGAGUUUUAGUUUUAAACAUUUGAAGGGCACUGGGUUGAGGGGACCUGCUUUAGGGUAUUAGGCAUUGCUGAUUCUGAGCUCUGUUUCCCAACAUCCUUUACCUUGAGAUUCAGGGAACAUAGGACCUUUUCCGUGCAAAGACGUGUGUUUUCCAUUUCUUUGCUAUAGCUCUGAGUUUUAGGUCAUCAGAUGUAAUAGUGAUAAUUUUAUAUAGCAUUACUAAGUUUAUUUCAGUUAUAGAAUGUAGGAGGCCCACAAAUUCAUCAAAUCAAAUGCUAUAAAUGUUAAAUUUGACUGGUGUAGAUUUCAAGUUGCACAGUAAAGAUCAUGGGGGAAAAAUUGGAUGUUGAAAGGGCACGCCUUCACGUUCCUUUGAUAUUAAGUAAAUAUACUCUCCUUGGGGAAAAAGUGCAUUACUUCUAUAUAACCAACUUUCCUACUUUAUAUUACUAGAGUCACCAGUGGAUAAAGUUCAAAGUAAUAGCACUUUCCUCACUACAAGAUGCUGUUUCAAGCAGCAGUAUUCAUCAAUAUUUUAUAGUGCUGACUAAGCCAAGCUAGAAGCAAAUUGCUCGUGCUCUCUUUGCCUGAUGGGUUUCCUUGUCUUAUCUAGUAAUCUUUUUGUUUCUGAUGGAAAUUAAUCAAUCUUCACAAGGCCACAGCUAACUCUUGCUUUUCAAAUCAUGCAAGUGUUACUUCUCCCCCUCUUUUCCUAAAUGUUUCUUUCUGGCACAUUGCAAAACAGUUGUUUUUCCUUCUGUGCAGAUAUGUGAGACUAAGAGCCAAAAUGGAUGUAAUGCAGGAUUUGUUAAUAGGAUGUUCCAUAUUGUUGUUGCUGCUACAGUGUGUGAUACUUACAUCAGGACUGAAGUGCUGGUGGAAGUGGAUUUUAACCUCUUUGCUUGUGCUGUAUUUCUGAUUAAAUUCUCAUGCCACCCCAAAGAACUUCUAUUUGUCAUGUGAUCAAAAAUAUUCAAGUAUUAUGUGGGUACUUGCAUUAUCAAAAGAUUAGCUGGUAACUAACUUUUUCUUACUAAUUGAUUUCCACCAGAACAUAAGAUGAGCUUUGCUGGAGCAGACCAAGAGUCAUCUAGUCUGCUAUCUUUUUCAGCCCCAUAGUAACCAGCCAGAUGUUUCUCAGAAGCCAGUGGGGUGUUGUUUUUUUAGCAAUAUGCUUUUUAAAGGAAUAAUUCUUGCUAUUAUUAUUAUUUUAUACCACUUACACACAAAAAUUACAGUCCACUUUUCCCCUCCAAAAAUGAGUUACUCAAAGAGGCUUACAAAACACAUUAACAGCAAUAACAUUCCUUCCUUGACUUCGCUCAUUUACCAUUCUGGCAUCUUCUUGUACUUGGUGUGUAACUUUCCUGAUCUGCGGUACACGAUUUAUCUGAACUUCUUUUAAAAUGAUUUUACGUAACUUCCAAAUGUCCUAAAGGAGCUUGGCCCUUAUAACUUUCCUGCUUAACUAAUUUCUUCAUUUUUGAGGUUCUCUCUUCUACUUCUUUCAAGUAAUUGUGAGCGUGUCAGACUUUCUUCUUACUUACAUGUUGAAUUUCACUGCAGUCUGGUCACUGUUCCUGACCCAUUCAACAAUGUUUACACCCCACAUCAGGUCCUCAGGAUUAACUCAAAGGCUGCCUCUGCAAAAUCACAGACGGAGAGAAACAAACAUGAUCAUUAGGUCUAAUUAGGAUCAAAUAUUUAGUAAGCUCUGGUAGCUGAACCUCAUGUACUCACGGAGGCUGAGAAAUUGUUUGGGGGUAAUGUGCUGUAGAAGUAACAACUGAAGUAUGCAUGGUUGAAUAAACCUCUUCAGAGAUUUUUCACCCCUUGUGGAAUGUCUUUUAGCUAACUAGAAUUUUUUCAGACUCAAUAUAUUACUUUCCCACCGUUCUUGACUAUCUACAUCAAAAUGCAUUUGCAAUAUAAAUACAUGCAGAAGAAAGUGUGAAUUCUGUUGUUGUUUGUAAAUAUAAGUAUAUAGCCACCCCAAAUGUCAGAAAACAGGAAAAUUAAAUAAUUACUACUUACAUUUUUCCUUUAAAAUGUUCGUUUUCAUCAAGCUGCAUAAAAGUGGUAAAGAAUUUAAAAUAAUUACUCACACAUGCAAAAAUUAGUGUCUCCCUGCUUAUAUGUAAUUUAUGUGACAUGGGACAAGAGCUGGGCUGAUAUACAAAACAGCCAAGUGCUUAAACUAAUUUGGGUUCAUCUGGAAUUGCAAAAAUCUCUAGAACUUCAAAUUAGUUUUGUGAAAGCAUGGUCUUGGGUCCAACAAAUGUACUUGAAAUUAAUGCCUCUUUGGGACAAUGCAUAGCUUUUUGUUGUUGCAGUACCUUCACUGCCCCUCUUCCCAUAUGUAAAGUGCACUACAAAAAAACAGUUUAUUUUGUUUAAAGAGUUGAUGCAGUUAAUGAUGUACCAAAACUACAAAUAAUUCAUUUGAGUGAGACUCAAACAGUAAUAGUUUCUACAUAUUAGUCCUUCAAACACUGCAUUGUUAUAAGGUCAUAACUGAUUGAUGGGACGCGGGUGGCGCUGUGGUCUAAACCACUGAGCCUCUUGGGCUUGCCGAUCAGAAGGUUAGCGGUUCGAGUCGCCAUGGCGAAGUGAGCUUCCCAUUGCUCUGUCCCAGCUUCUACCAACCUAGCAGUUCAAAAGCAUACCAGUGCAAGUAGAUAAAUAGGUACCACUGCGGCGGGAAGGUAAAUGGCAUUUCCAUGCUCUCUGGCUUCCUUCACGGUGUCCCGUUAUGCCCGAAGUGGUUUAGUCAUGAUGGCCACAUGACCAGAAAGCUGUCUGCAGACAAACGCUGCCUCCCUUGGCCUGAAAGCGAGAUGAGUGCCGCAUCCCAUAGUCACCUUUGACUGGACUUAACCAACCAGGGGUCCUUUACCUUUACCUUUUUACCUAUAAUUGAUUAUUAGUCUGGUCUGUAUGUCUUGGCAGACCAUCGUGUUUUCUUAUUUUAUGUCUGCCACAGAGGGGCUGGGGUGUUAAGAGAGAGAGGAUGGAAUUUUGUGUUCCUUCUCUCAUCAGCAUAACCCAUGUUUAAGUGUUGUCUCAGCAGUUAUCCCAGCCAAUUCUAAAUAUCUAAGCCAGGGAUUGGUAGUGAGGGUCCUCUAGGUAUUUUGGACUAGAUUUCUCAGCAGCCCUAGCCACCAUGUUAAAUAGUUAGGUGCAAUGAGAUUUCUAGUCCAAAAAUCUGGAGGGCAUCAUCAUGUUGGCCAUCCCUAGUUAAGAGUUCCAUUGCUAUGUCUGCAUCAGCACUGGGAGAACUGUGAAAGACAGUUCACUCAGAUUAAGUUCUACUGAACACAAGAGCAGCUGGAAAAGUAAAGCGUUGCUACUCCUGUCCAACAAUUGGAUGUUUCUUGAAACACUGUGAUGAGAUAGCUGCAUAUCCCUGUAUUCCACCUCUACAAUUCUGUGAUUCUGAUUCAUUGUCAGCCACAUAAUAAGAGAAUAUGGUGAUUAACAGAGAACAAGCAAAGAAACACGGUGUUCUGCAGUACAGCAAAGUUUAGCAAUCAGUGUUCUAGUUUUCCCUGAACUCAGCUGACACUGUUCAUACCUUCAAAGAAACUGUGAAAGGAGGAAUGGCUUUUGGUGUCUCACAAGAAGUAGAAUUCAUGGGUUUCCUUCAGGACUACUAGAAGCCACUGAUGUUCUCUACAGGGGAAUGCCAUGAGUUCAAGUAGUAGGGGAGGGAGAAGAAUAUUAAACUUAUCAAGUUUCUUCUUUUACUUCUUUUCUGGAAGUAUAAACCAGUUCUUAGAUUCUGAUAUUGAUUCUUCUAGACUUUGUUGUGUGGUGUUCUGACUCGCUUAUGUAUAUUCAAUAUAAGCAGCUGGCAGCUGGAACUGAAUGUUAAAUAUAUAAUCAGCAGUCCAGACAAGGCAGAAUACUAAAAGGGACAAAAAAAUAAAAAGGAAACCAAAUCUAUUUGACACUCUUCC